AGCGGCCCUGGGCGCAGUGAGCCAGUGGCGGGGGAAGGCACCGGUGGGGCCGACGGGCGGGUUGAAGGAGGGAAGCGGGCGAGCGAAGUCCCAGUGCGCGCCGCGGCGGCACGGGUACCCUCCCCUUCCGGGCGUGAGGCGCUGUGAGGAAAGCUGAAGCGAGCGGACUCACACCGGCAGCGAGGCGCCGCUACCGCCGCCCCAGCCCAGCCUCCCUCGGCUUCGGCGCUCCCGUCGUGGGGGUCCGGGUUCCUCAGCACACCCAGCUCCAGCAGCCCCAGAGCCUGUCCCCAGUCCUUCGAAAGCCCCGGCGCCAGUCCGGGCCCUUGGCGGGGAGGAUGACGGAGCUGCAGUCGGCACUGCUACUGCGAAGACAGCUGGCAGAUGUUUUCAGUCCCACUUCUCACUACUGACCUUCCUCGUACGACGGUCACUGAACUGGCGCCUCUCUGGGGUUCUGCCCAGAAGAUUAGCCUUCCUCCUUCGCUGCACCCCCUCUAACUCAACAAAAAUCCAGUGGAAGGCUUUUCAGCAGGUUUAAUAGAUGACAAUGAUCUCUACCGAUGGGAAGUCCUUAUUAUUGGUCCUCCAGAUACACUUUAUGAAGGUGGUGUUUUUAAGGCUCAUCUCACUUUCCCAAAAGAUUAUCCUCUUCGGCCUCCUAAAAUGAAAUUCAUUACAGAAAUCUGGCAUCCAAAUGUUGAUAAAAAUGGUGAUGUGUGCAUUUCUAUUCUUCAUGAGCCCGGAGAAGAUAAAUAUGGUUAUGAAAAGCCAGAGGAACGCUGGCUGCCUAUUCACACCGUGGAAACCAUCAUGAUUAGUGUCAUUUCUAUGCUGGCAGACCCUAAUGGCGACUCGCCUGCUAAUGUGGACGCUGCGAAAGAAUGGAGAGAAGACAGAAAUGGAGAAUUCAAAAGGAAAGUCGCCCGCUGUGUAAGAAAAAGCCAAGAGACUGCUUUUGAGUGACAUUUAUUCAACAGCUGUAACUUCACUUAUUUCAGGGUCUCCAAUGAGAAACAUGGCACUGUUUUUCCUGCACUCUACCCACCUAUUGCUGGACUUCUGAUGUAACAAGUUGGCAAACACUGGCUGGAACUGGGCUGCAAUAAAACAUGCCAGUAUCAAUGCUGACAAGAGCCUAACAAGUGCCAACUUACAGAUGAUUACGCAUUUUGAAUUCUAAUGAACUGUUUUAACCUUCAGGAAGAAUUGUAAAGACCUGUACAUAGCACAACAUGAUCCGGAUAAUAUAUAUACUGUUCAUGUACAUCCACAAAUACACCUUGUACCAAAUAAUGCUUUCUUGUAGUAGAAUAAGAAUCGUGUAAAUUCUCAAAGAUUUUAGCAGGUUUUCUUUCCCUAUUCAUUGUUUCUUAUCAGUUUAAAAAAAAAAAAAAAACUCCUUAAAGCAUGUCAGAUGAAGAGCAAUUAGGAUUAAAAGUAUCCAUUUAAUUUCCUUUAAACCAUUGAGGCUUCAUUAAACUCUUUUCACUUACUAAACUUUUGUAUCUUCUUUGUUUUGACACACUCCCCUUUGCUUUUAUCUCUUCUCUCUGCCAGGAAGUUUUCAAGUCAGUUCAAAUACUGAACUACUCAAUAAGCAACUACUUGAUUUUUACUGAUGACUUCAGGGGAAUGGUCAUCACUAGGUGCUUUGUCCCUUUUGUAUUACACUCGCACCCAUCUCUUGGAUUGGAUGUAGCAAUAACAUUUUUUGUUGUUGAGAGCUCUUGAAUUUAGUCAUUAUCCCCAAGAACUAAAAGGAGUUGGUUCUGAAUUCAAUUCAGAUUUCAAAUGACCGAAAUUUAUCCCGAACAAUGCAAAAUCCAGGUUUUAUUUUUGCCCUUCAGUUGUCUAAUGUGAAGGUUGGAUGAAUAUAGCAUGCACAGCUACAGGCUUUCUAUUUAGCUUCUGGGUUUGCUAUUAAAAAUGCUGUUUACCCUCAUUCCCUUCUCCUCAGCCCUUCAUAUUUCUUUGCCUCUCUUCUUCUAUACUGCAGAUUUUUUCCCACCUAUUGUACAAAGAAAUUGCGAUGUAUAUUUUCAUGUAAUUUGAUUUUGGAAUUCUGUCACCUUAUGUAGUGAGUUCUUCCAAAAUAUAAUUUUUUUCCAAUAAUUGUCAAGUUGUUGGCUUUUAUUGUAUUGAAUGAAGGUUAUAAUACUGAGUGCCAGAGAAGUGCAGUUUAGAGAAAUCUCAGGUUGAUUCCUUAUGCAAACAAACUUAAUACUUGAAAAUCACUUGGCCAUGGCAGUAUAUGUAUUGGACUCUAUAUAGAUUCUUAUAUGAAUCUCAAAGCAAUAUAGGGAUAUAAAUGCUCUGUUUGCUAUUGACAUAUUCUGUCACUGACAUAGUGCACUUGGAUUUUAUUAAUGUUUGAGCAUAAGUAUAUUUCAUAAAUUUUCUAAAACAGCAUCAGGAAAUGGUAAAAUGAGCAUGUACGGUGUUGAAGGCGGGCCCAGGUCUCUCUGUGUUUGGUGUAGGGUUGGGACUAGGAAGUAGUCUUUGGUAUAUAAGGGACAGAACUUGAGACAGUACCAGAUGGAACAUGGCAUUUGUGAGAAUCAGGGAUGCAUCUCUGCUUUGUGGGAUUUGAAAAAAUGCUUUGGCAGAAGAGGGAAAGGAUUCCCCCAAGUAGCCGGUACUUUAUAAAUUUUGCAUGUCUUUUUUUAAGCAAAAUAAUUGAGGAUAUAGUUACAGUAAAGAGUGUUUUUUCUAAGGCUCAGUCUGUUCUUCACUCUGAAGCAUUAUAAAAACCCAUAAAUGUGUAAUGACUGAAUGUGAAAUUGUUUGAUUCAUUGCAGCCCAACUUUUUUCAAGAACUUCGCUUGUGACUUUAUUUUUGCAAAGACUGAAAAUUGUUGCCCCUAUGUUCCAGUACUGCAUAACCUACCAGGGACUUUGAAACCCUUUUGUUUUAAAUCAGAAGUCGUUCACAUGAUGGUUGUCUGUGGCAAGAUGGAGUCUGAAUUUUGCUCCCCUGUUGCUGUAAUUCAGCUAGCCAUCAGUUGAGUUAAAACCUGGGAUUUGACUCUUUAGGGAGGAGCAAAUAUCCUAGUACUCAGGGACAGCUAUUCUUUAAGUGCCACUUUAAUGCAGUUACUUUGGUUUAACCAUGUGUGUUUAGGGCUAGAUCUAGGGGAGUAGAAGGAGAACCAGGAGCGAGUGCACGUCUCUUCACACUUUUCCACCCGGUGCCCUGACCCUGCUACAUAUCUUUGAAAUACAGGCCUCCGUAGAUGUCUUUUUCUCUGUCAGAGGUGUCAUCUGUGCCUUUCCCAGUGUUCAUCUGACAGUGAAUCUCAAUGCCUCUACAUUUGAUGUUAAACCACACUCAGGUGACACUGAUCCAUGUGGCUCUUGUCCCGGUGGUGCCUCAUCGUUAGUAUGAGGACAGUUCUCUCUUGCUUUAGGAAAAGGUUUUUUCUCCCUGACCUUGUGCCAACUAUCAGCAACACCUACAUCAUCUUAUGGAUUGUAGGACUGUUGCCUAUUUUCCUAAACUCCUUCCAAGUUCUUACAAAGGCUUAUCUAUUUUUGUGUUCAUAAUGGGAUGGACGAUUUCAGUGGCUUUCUGGCCUCCUUUUGUGAGUUUAAAAUCCAAAUGAGGUUGGUUUCCUUGUCAUUACAAGGUAAUAUCUUUGUGAGGUUAUUCCACUGGUUAUGCGAUCACUUGGGUGUCACAGUAUCUUUAAUGGCCUUCAUUCUUGGUUGUGAAAUUUCAUUUUAUAUGCUCAUUCACCCUCUACAAAUCUACCCACUUUGGGUUGUGGUGCCUGUGUAUCUUUGCCCGUCUGGUCUCCAGUUGGUGGAAUUACCUUUUUUGUACUGCCACUUCUCAGCAUCUUUGAAAUUUGACAUAAUGUUGCUUCAUUCCAGUUUUUUUUUUCCUUUAGUUUUUGUAAUGUGUUGAUUGUAUUUAACUAUGUGAGUUCUGUUGUGAUGUUUACUGUAUUGUAAAGCACCUUGAUCAUGUGAUGGGUGCUCUAUAAAUCAAUAAAUGAUGACUUAGAGGCUGUA